GAUGAACGCUGGCGGCGUGCUUAACACAUGCAAGUCGAACGGUGAACGAGGGAGCUUGCUCCCUCCGGAUCAGUGGCGAACGGGUGAGUAACACGUGAGCAAUCUGCCCCGAACUCUGGGAUAAGCGCUGGAAACGGCGUCUAACACCGGAUACGACGCGCGAAGGCAUCUUCUGCGCGUGGAAAGAAUUUCGGUUCGGGAUGAGCUCGCGGCCUAUCAGCUAGUUGGUGAGGUAACGGCUCACCAAGGCGACGACGGGUAGCCGGCCUGAGAGGGUGACCGGCCACACUGGGACUGGGACACGGCCCAGACUCCUACGGGAGGCAGCAGUGGGGAAUAUUGCACAAUGGGCGCAAGCCUGAUGCAGCAACGCCGCGUGAGGGACGACGGCCUUCGGGUUGUAAACCUCUUUUAGUAGGGAAGAAGCGAAAGUGACGGUACCUGCAGAAAAAGCACCGGCUAACUACGUGCCAGCAGCCGCAGUAAUAC
rnacentral:rRNA from 1 species